UACGGUCACAUUACGUUGAAACACCAGUUUCCGUAGGUUUACCAAAGUUAAGCAACGUAGAGCCUGGUUAGUAUCCAGAUGGGUGAUAGCUUGGGAAUACCAGGUGCUGUCAG